CGGGGCAUGGGGUAAUGGCAGCCCACUGGCUUCGGGUGUCAGAAGUCCCAGUUCAAAUCUGGGUGCCCCGA
rnacentral:tRNA from 2 species